UACGUAGGGUGCAAGCGUUAAUCGGAAUUACUGGGCGUAAAGCGUGCGCAGGCGGUUAUGCAAGACAGAUGUGAAAUCCCCGGGCUCAACCUGGGAACUGCAUUUGUGACUGUAUAGCUAGAGUACGGCAGAGGGGGAUGGAAUUCCGCGUGUAGCAGUGAAAUGCGUAGAUAUGCGGAGGAACACCGAUGGCGAAGGCAAUCCCCUGGGCCUGUACUGACGCUCAUGCACGAAAGCGUGGGGAGCAAACAGG
rnacentral:rRNA from 1 species